rfam:Rattus norvegicus chromosome 3, whole genome shotgun sequence.
GGGGAUUUAGCUCAGUGGUAGAGCGCUUGCCUAGCAAGCGCAAGGCCCUGGGUUCAAUCCCCAGCUCCG